rnacentral:rRNA from 1 species
ACUCCUACGGGAGGCAGCAGUAGGGAAUCUUCCACAAUGGGCGCAAGCCUGAUGGAGCAACACCGCGUGAGUGAAGAAGGGUUUCGGCUCGUAAAGCUCUGUUGUUAAAGAAGAACACGUAUGAGAGUAACUGUUCAUACGUUGACGGUAUUUAACCAGAAAGUCACGGCUAACUACGUGCCAGCAGCCGCGGUAAUACGUAGGUGGCAAGCGUUAUCCGGAUUUAUUGGGCGUAAAGAGAGUGCAGGCGGUUUUCUAAGUCUGAUGUGAAAGCCUUCGGCUUAACCGGAGAAGUGCAUCGGAAACUGGAUAACUUGAGUGCAGAAGAGGGUAGUGGAACUCCAUGUGUAGCGGUGGAAUGCGUAGAUAUAUGGAAGGACACCAGUGGCGAAGGCGGCUACCUGGUCUGCAACUGACGCUGAGACUCGAAAGCAUGGGUAGCGAACAGGAUUAGAUACCCUGGUAGGAUACCG